CCCUGCCUUUUGUACACACCGCCCGUCGCACCUACCGAUUGGAUGGUCCGGUGAAGCCUCCGGAUCGCGGCCCCGCGCCUCCGGGCCGAGGCCACGAGAAGCUGGCUAAACCUUACCAUCUAGAGGAA
rnacentral:rRNA from 1 species